UACGGGGGGGGUAAGCGUUGUUCGGAAUUACUGGGCGUAAAGGGCUCGUAGGCGGCCAACUAAGUCGGACGUGAAAUCCCUCAGCUUAACUGGGGAACUGCGUCCGAUACUGGAUGGCUUGGAUUUGGGAGAGGGAUGCGGAAUUCCAGGUGUAGCGGUGAAAUGCGUAGAUAUCUGGAGGAACACCGGUGGCGAAGGCGGCAUCUUGGACCGGUAUUGACGCUGAGGCGCGAAAGCUAGGGGAGCAAACGGG
rnacentral:rRNA from 1 species